UCUAUGUUUACAUACACUUAGGUACACAAAUACCUACCUUGUCUUAUAGUUGCCUAGAGUAUUCGGUACAGUGACAUGCUGUCCAGGUUUGUAGCCCAGGAGCAAUAGGCAGGACCAUAGAGCCUAGGGGUGCAGUAGGCCGGACCAUCCAGGUUUGUGUAAGUACACGCCAUGAUGUUCGCACAACCACAAAAUCGCCUAAAGAUGCAUUUCUCAGAAAGUGUCCCCAUCAUUAAGUGACGCAUGGCUGUGGUCUACAGCACAAUAAAGAGCACAAAGGGAGAUGACACAACAGCAAAUGGGAGUUGUGUGUCUGGGGAAAGCAGUCUAGAAACCUGGUGCAAUCUGGGCUGAGAGGACACGCUUUUCUUGGCUGCAAGAAUGGCUCAGGGAGAGUCAGUUUCACUCAAGUCUGAGAGGAUCUCAAAAUUAAAUUACCGAGACUAGGAAUGAUUGGAAAAAGUGUGAGCGGAGCCUAACUUUUGCUAGCUUGUACUUUGUUUUAAGUUGUUUAGCUGGAGUUAAAACAGUAACUGGAGAGUCUACUUUGAUUGAUUUAUGUUGCUAUUCUAAUAUUGAAUUCCAUUUGUGUAGGAAAAGCCCAAACGAGGCGGGAAGGUUUGAAACCUGAAAGGAAAGCUAAGCACCGCCAUGAAUUUGUUGGCUGCAGAGCAACACCCACACCAAGGCGUCUGUGAAGUGACAGCCUGUGGCGGGCUGGCCUUACACACUCCAGCCUGUUGGUCACCAGCACCAACCAAAGUACCUUAGUAACCAAGGAUUGUAGGAUGUGGUCACCGCAUUCUGGGCGACAGGACUAUAGGAAGAUGUGGAAUCUAGUUUUUUUAUUUUACAACCACAUUACUUUGACACAUCGCAUGUAAACGUGAUCUUGAUAAAGACUUUCAGGAAAGAAAAAGCUUGGCCCAAGCCUGCUGUUCCUUGCUCCUGGAUUACUGAAGUGGCCUCUUGUAGCACUCUUUCUUCUUCUCCCUGGUCAUACAGCCAGACUUCUUCUCCGAAGCUCCUUCGUGGUUCGUGUGCCGUAAGACGGACUGGUACCCACUGCCAUCUAGGUGGAGGCACCCUGCACAGCUUACAGCAGACGUGCUUUCUGUGUUUUGUUACAGUGUGCGGAAGCUCCGAGAUGGGAA
rnacentral:lncRNA from 1 species